rnacentral:rRNA from 1 species
AGGCCGAGAGGCGUAGUCGAUGGAAAGCGGGCUAAUAUUCCCGCACUUGCUGUUGCUGCGAUGGGAUGACGGAGAAAGUUAGGUUAGCUGCCUGUUGGAUGGCAGUUUAAGUGUUUAGGCGUGCUCUUUAGGCAAAUCCGGAGAGCUUAGCUGAGGCAUGAUGACGAGGGCCUUUUGGCCCGAAGUAACUGAUACUCGGCUUCCAAGAAAAGUCUCUAAGCUUCAGGCAACAACAAGCCGUACCCCAAACCGACACAGGUGGGCGAGGAGAGUAUCCUCAGGCGUUUGAGACAACUCGGGUGAAGGAACUCGGCAAAUUAGUACCGUAACUUCGGGAUAAGGUACGCCCGCGCAAGCGGGCCGCAGUGAAGAGGGGGUUGCGACUGUUUAUCAAAAACACAGCACUCUGCAAACACGAAAGUGGACGUAUAGGGUGUGACUCCUGCCCGGUGCUGGAAGGUUAAUUGAUGGGGUUAGGCGCAAGCCGAAGCUCUUGAUCGAAGCCCCAGUAAACGGCGGCCGUAACAAUAACGGUCCUAAGGUAGCGAAAUUCCUUGUCGGGUAAGUUCCGACCUGCACGAAUGGAGUAACGAUAGCCCCACUGUCUCCAUCCGAGGCUCAGUGAAAUUGAAAUUGCUGUGACGAUGCAGUGUUCCCGCGGCAAGACGGAAAGACCCCGUGAACCUUUACUACAACUUUGCAUUGGAUUUUGAGUUUGUUUGUGUAGGAUAGGUGGGAGCCUUUGAAGCCAGGACGCCAGUUCUGGUGGAGGCAACCUUGAAAUACCACCCUGAUAAACUCGAAGUUCUAACCUCGGCCUGUUAUCCAGGCUAGGGACAUUGCAUGGCGGGUAGUUUGACUGGGGCGGUCUCCUCCCAAAGAGUAACGGAGGAGUGCGAAGGUUACCUCAGCGCGGUCGGAAAUCGCGCUUUUGAGUGCAUACGCAUAAGGUAGCUUAACUGCGAGACAAACAAGUCGAGCAGAUACGAAAGUAGGUGUAAGUGAUCCGGUGGUUCUGUAUGGAAGGGCCAUCGCUCAACGGAUAAAAGGUGCUCCGGGGAUAACAGGCCGAUACUGCCCAAGAGUCCAUAUCGACGGCAGUGUUUGGCACCUCGAUGUCGGCUCAUCACAUCCUGGGGCUGUAGCAGGUCCCAAGGGUCCGGCUGUUCGCCGGUUAAAGUGGUACGCGAGCUGGGUUCAGAACGUCGUGAGACAGUUCGGUCCCUAUCUGCCGUGGGCGUUCGAAGUUUGAGAGGAGUUGACCUUAGUACGAGAGGACCGGGUUGAACGUAUCUCUGGUGUUCCAGUUGUCACGCCAGUGGCAUCGCUGGGUAGCUAAAUACGGACGGGAUAACCGCUGAAAGCAUCUAAGCGGGAAGCCCACCUCAAGAUGAGACUUCGCAGAGCUUUAAGCUCUCUUAAGAGCCCUUCUAGACUAGGAGGUUGAUAGGCGCCAUGUGGAAGUGCAGUAAUGCAUGUAGCUAAGGCGUACUAAUUGCUCGUGAGGCUUGAUC